rnacentral:lncRNA from 1 species
CAACACGUGCCACUGUCGAGACCAUAGUGAUCCAAGAGAUGAGUUAUUAACACGUGACACUGCCCAGACCAAAGUGAUCCUAGAGGUGAGUUGCCAACAUGUGCCACUGUCCAAACCAUCGUGAUCCUAGAGGUAAGUUGCCAACACGUGUCACUGCCCAGUCCAUCGUGAUCCUAGAGGUGAGUUGCCAACAUGUGCCACUGUCCAGACCAUCGUGAUCCUAGAGGUGAGUUGACAACACGUGACACUGUCCAGACCAUCGUGAUCCUAGAGGUAAGUUGCCAACACGUGUCACUGCCCAGACCAUAGAGAUCCUAGGGGUGAGUUGCAAACACGUGGCACUGUCCAGACCAAAGUGAUCCUAGAGGUGAGUUGCGAACACGAGGCACUGUCCAGACCAAAGUGAUCCUAGAGGUGAGUUGCCCACAUGUGAUACUGUCCAGACCAAAGUGAUCCUAGAGGUGAGUCACCAACACGUGUCAGUGUCCAGACCAUAGGAAUCCAAGAGGCGAGUAGACAACGUGCAUCAUUGUCCAGACCAUCGUGAUCCUAGAGGUGAGGUACUAACGUGUGUCACUGUCCAGACCACAGUGAUCCUAGAGGUGAGUUGACAACAUGUGUCACUGUCCAGACCAUAGCAAUCCAAGAGAUUAGUUGCCAACAUUUGUCAAUGGACAGGGACUCUCCUGGAGUCGGCGGCCAAAUAUGAUAUCAAUGAAUAAAUGAAUCACUAUAUCAGUGUAAUCAAUCAGCCAACCAACCAACCAGUCAAUCAACAAACGAAUCAAUCAAUUAAUGACAUUUUGUUUAUGAUUAUAUAAUUACGUCUCUUCUUUUAAUGCUCACGUACAUUCAAAACAAUAAAACUAAUUUCACAGCGCACCCAACAUAUUCACCGAUAAGCUCUCUAUAAAUAGUAACAAAGAGCGCCCCUACCCCAAAUGUUCUUCCCGGUGAGUUUUCGCUUGGCCUGUCACGUGACUCAAGGGGUGCGAGACAGAAACGUGACGACUUCAGCUCUGUCAGCAAUAUAUUUGCUCCACAAAGUUCUAGACCGUGUGAUGCCAAGUCAAUCAAGAAUGAUAUACAAACGGGGCGUGUCACAUACACGAGGUCAGGGGCACUGUACAGAACUGUGAAUAUGUAACUCUCUGGCUCCAUUCGUAGAACAUGGAAGUCAACGGCGAUGCUAUGAUUUACAUUGUGGCCUUUUUUGCAAUAUUCUCCAUAUUUGCCUGUAUUGUGUGUUUCAUGCUGCGACGCUAUAAGAGACGGCAUCUCAGCGCACGCAGGAGACGCGCCAAUCAGACUAUUGCAAGCCAUGUUUAUCAACAAACUGUUAUGCGUGACUCACUUCCGGGCGAAACCGGAUAUCCGGUAGAUUCAGAUCCAAUGUCACAGAAUGUGUUUUUUAUAUCGUCUCCGGGUCUGGUUGUACUCCCUCCUUACUCUGAGACAUACAAACCAGAACCACCCCCACCAUACGCACCAUGAACCGAACGUCCUGCAUGACCUUCACCUUUAAGAAAUAACCCCGCCUCGUCAUUCCAGAGGCGUAUGUUGGCUACGAGAAACAACGAUUUAAAAACGUCUCAGAAAGCAGCCGGACGGUUUUUUUACUGUUAAGAGUGUACGUUUAGUACACCGGGUGUCCAAUCAGGUGAUCAGGCGGCAGACAAUGAAACGGUGCUAAUCUCGUUAUUGGAAAUUUGUCAGCACCAAUGGUCUUGGAAGGAGAAUUCACGAAUUCAGGAACGACUGGACAAUCGUCAACCUCAGCAAGUUGGAAGCGUUUCACUCAAUCAAAACAAUACAAGUCCCUACCUCCUGACAAUACAUAAUUAGAACAUUGUGAUACUGUCUUCCACAGGGCACAGAAUCAAAGGUCAAAUGGGUGAGAUGAACUGAUGAAGUCUGACUUCGCUUUCAGUGUGUGGAUGAAUUCCUUGAUCCCUGUUGUUUUUACUUAACACUUAACGUUGGUGCAAACUGAGCGUUCAUAAUGAAACUGUAUACGCAGUACUAGAGUGUCGGGGCGGUCGGGUAGCCUAGUGGUUAAAGCGUUCGCUCGUCACGCCGAAGACCCGGGUUCGAUUCCCGACAUGGGUACAAUGUGUGAAGCCCAUUUCUGGUGUCCCCCGCCGUGAUAUUGCUGGAAUAUUGCUAAAAGCGGCGUAAAACCAUACUCACUCACUCACUAGAGUGUCACAGUGUCUUUCCUUGGUUCUCAACACCGGAACUCCCGUAAACAAACUGCCACCCCUUGUCGGUGACUGUUCACAUGUUGUCUCUACUUUAGUCCGAUCUUGACAUCAGGUCUGUGUGAGUGUCUGGCCAUGUCAUGCCAUCAUGUGUUCAAUGUGUCUGCAGCUGGUCUGCAAAUUGACUGAAAAUGUUAUCAUACGUGGAAUUGUUUAAGACAUGGUAUAGUGACGGAUUGAUGUAUAUUAAUUUUAUAAACUAAUCAUCAUUAAAUGUUGUUAAUUAUGUUCUGAAAUUAUAUAUUUAUGGCGAAAUGUG